rnacentral:rRNA from 1 species
UACAGAGGGCUCAAUCGUUGUUCGGAUUCAUUGGGCGUAAAGGGUGCGUAGGUGGCGGGGUAAGUCUGGUGUGAAAUCUCCGGGCUCAACUCCGAAACUGCACUGGAUACUGCCUUGCUCGAGUACUGGAGAGGAGAUUGGAAUUUACGGUGUAGCAGUGAAAUGCGUAGAUAUCGUAAGGAAGACCAGUGGCGAAGGCGAAUCUCUGGACAGUUUCUGACACUGAGGCACGAAGGCCAGGGGAGAAAACGGG